rnacentral:tRNA from 1 species
GCCCUCGUCGUUCAGUGGUCUAGGACACCGGGUUUUCAUCUCGGGAACAGGGGUUCGAACCCCCUCGAGGGUG